rnacentral:ribozyme from 12 species
CCCAAAAGGACAGAAAGUAGUGACAGUACCGCAAUCAAAAUAUAAAGGUGGCUUGUUGUUGUAUGUGGCCUUCGUUUUUUUUCCUUUUUUUUCUUUUU